AAGGCUUUAAGUUAAAUAUUUUAAACUAAUAUCCUUCAAAGCUAUAAAUAAAGACCUGUAACCUUUAAGCCUUA
rnacentral:tRNA from 1 species